rnacentral:rRNA from 1 species
CCAGACAGCCAGGAUGUUGGCUUAGAAGCAGCCAUCAUUUAAAGAAAGCGUAAUAGCUCACUGGUCGAGUCGGCCUGCGCGGAAGAUGUAACGGGGCUAAACCAUGCACCGAAGCUGCGGCAGCGACGCUGAUGCGUUGUUGGGUAGGGGAGCGUUCUGUAAGCCUGUGAAGGUGGCCUGUGAGGGUUGCUGGAGGUAUCAGAAGUGCGAAUGCUGACAUAAGUAACGAUAAAGCGGGUGAAAAGCCCGCUCGCCGGAAGACCAAGGGUUCCUGUCCAACGUUAAUCGGGGCAGGGUGAGUCGACCCCUAAGGC